rnacentral:rRNA from 1 species
GAUGAACGCUGGCGGCGUGCCUAAUACAUGCAAGUCGAGCGAACAGAUGAGGAGCUUGCUCCUCUGACGUUAGCGGCGGACGGGUGAGUAACACGUGGAUAACCUACCUAUAAGACUGGGAUAACUUCGGGAAACCGGAGCUAAUACCGGAUAAUAUAUUGAACCGCAUGGUUCAAUAGUGAAAGACGGUUUUGCUGUCACUUAUAGAUGGAUCCGCGCCGCAUUAGCUAGUUGGUAAGGUAACGGCUUACCAAGGCAACGAUGCGUAGCCGACCUGAGAGGGUGAUCAGCCACACUGGAACUGAGACACGGUCCAGACUCCUACGGGAGGCAGCAGUAGGGAAUCUUCCGCAAUGGGCGGAAGCCUGACGGAGCAACGCCGCGUGAGUGAUGAAGGUCUUCGGAUCGUAAAACUCUGUUAUUAGGGAAGAACAAAUGUGUAAGUAACUAUGCACGUCUUGACGGUACCUAAUCAGAAAGCCACGGCUAACUACGUG